GAAGCCCGCCAGACCGCCGCUGGCGCAAGGCCCGAAAGGGCGCGCUGGAGGAACGUCCGGACUGCACAGGACGGCGCAGCAGCUAACGGCUGCCCACCGCAAGGUGAGGAUCAGAGCAACAGAGACGAGUCCCCGGGAACCAUCCGCUUUGGCGGCCGGAGCCCGGGGGGUGAAACGGGCAAUCUCUGCGUGCAGCAACACCAAGUAGGCCAGCGUUGACGUGGUUCCGCGGAGCUGGCGGGUAGGUGGCACCGAGCCGUGUGGGCGACCCACGGCCCAGAUAAAUGGCGGUCACGCGGCGGGCAACCGCCGUGCACAGAAUCCGGCGUAUCGGCGGGCUUCACAC
rfam:Comamonadaceae bacterium A1 DNA, complete genome.